GAUGAACGCUGACAGAAUGCUUAACACAUGCAAGUCUACUUGAUUCUACUUCGGUAGUUGAUGGUGGCGGACGGGUGAGUAACGCGUAAAGAAUCUGACCUUUAGUUUGGGAUAACCUUUGGAAACGAAGGCUAAUACCGGAUAUUAUAGAGAAGUCGCAUGGCGACUCCAUGAAAGCUAUAUGCGCUAGAGGAGGACGUUGCGUCACAUGACUUAGUUGGUGAGGUAAUGGCUCACCAAGACCGCGAUGGGUAGCCGGCCUGAGAUGGUGAUCGGCCACAAGGGAAAUGAGACACGGUCCUUACUCCUACGGGAGGCAGCAGUGGAGAAUAUUGGACAAUGGGCCACAAGCCUGAUCCAGCAAUUCUGUGUGCACGAUGAAGGUCUUCGGAUUGUAAAGUGCUUUCAGUAGGGAAGAAAAAAAUGACGGUACCUACAGAAGAAGCGACGGCUAAAUAUGUGCCAGCCGCCGCCGUAAUAC
rnacentral:rRNA from 1 species